rnacentral:rRNA from 1 species
UGAGCAACCUGCCCUCAGCUUUGGGAUAACCCUCGGAAACGGGGGCUAAUACCGGAUAUUCACUGCUUCGCGCAUGUGGGGUGGUGGAAAGUUUUUCGGCUGGGGAUGGGCUCGCGGCCUAUCAGCUUGUUGGUGGGGUGAUGGCCUACCAAGGCGACGACGGGUAGCCGGCCGGAGAGGGCGACCGGCCACACUGGGACUGAGACGCGGCCCAGACUCCGUACGGGAGGCA